CCUAACACAUGCAAGUCGAACGGUAACAGGAAGAAGCUUGCUUCUUUGCUGACGAGUGGCAGACGGGUGAGUAAUGUCUGGGAAACUGCCUGAUGGAGGGGGAUAACUACUGGAAACGGUAGCUAAUACCGCAUAACGUCGCAAGACCAAAGAGGGGGACCUUCGGGCCUCUUGCCAUCGGAUGUGCCCAGAUGGGAUUAGCUAGUAGGUGGGGUAACGGCUCACCUAGGCGACGAUCCCUAGCUGGUCUGAGAGGAUGACCAGCCACACUGGAACUGAGACACGGUCCAGACUCCUACGGGAGGCAGCAGUGGGGAAUAUUGCACAAUGGGCGCAAGCCUGAUGCAGCCAUGCCGCGUGUAUGAAGAAGGCCUUCGGGUUGUAAAGUACUUUCAGCGGGGAGGAAGGGAGUAAAGUUAAUACCUUUGCUCAUUGACGUUACCCGCAGAAGAAGCACCGGCUAACUCCGUGCCAGCAGCCGCGGUAAUACGGAGGGUGCAAGCGUUAAUCGGAAUUACUGGGCGUAAAGCGCACGCAGGCGGUUUGUUAAGUCAGAUGUGAAAUCCCCAGGCUCAACCUGGGAACUGCAUCUGAUACUGGCAAGCUUGAGUCUCGUAGAGGGGGGUAGAAUUCCAGGUGUAGCGGUGAAAUGCGUAGAGAUCUGGAGGAAUACCGGUGGCGAAGGCGGCCCCCUGGACGAAGACUGACGCUCAGGUGCGAAAGCGU
rnacentral:rRNA from 1 species